rnacentral:rRNA from 1 species
GACGAACGCUGGCGGCGUGCUUAACACAUGCAAGUCGAACGAUGACGACCGUGCUUGCACGGUCUGAUUAGUGGCGAACGGGUGAGUAACACGUGAAUAACCUGCCCCCUACUCUGGGAUAACCUCGGGAAAUCGGGGCUAAUACCGGAUAUGAGCUCCUACCGCAUGGUGGGUGCUGGAAAGUUUUUCGGUGGGGGAUGGACUCGCGGCCUAUCAGUUUGUUGGUGAGGUAAUGGCUCACCAAGGCGAUGAGGGGUAGCCGGCCUGAGAGGGCAACCGGCCACACUGGGACUGGGACACGGCCCAGACUCCUACGGGAGGCAGCAGUGGGGAAUAUUGCACAAUGGGCGAAAGCCUGAUGCAGCGACGCCGCGUGAGGGAUGACGGCCUUCGGGUUGUAAACCUCUUUCAGUAGGGAAGAAGCGAAAGUGACGGUACCUGCAGAAGAAGCGCCGGCCAACUACGUGCCAGCAGCCGCCGUAAUAC